rnacentral:rRNA from 1 species
CUGGUGGUGGAAAGAUUUUUUGGUUGGGGAUGGACUCGCGGCCUAUCAGCUUGUUGGUGAGGUAAUGGCUCACCAAGGCGACGACGGGUAGCCGGCCUGAGAGGGUGACCGGCCACACUGGGACUGAGACACGGCCCAGACUCCUACGGGAGGCAGCAGUGGGGAAUAUUGCACAAUGGGCGAAAGCCUGAUGCAGCAACGCCGCGUGAGGGAUGACGGCCUUCGGGUUGUAAACCUCUUUUAGUAGGGAAGAAGCGAAAGUGACGGUACCUGCAGAAAAAGCACCGGCUAACUACGUGCCAGCAGCCGCGGUAAUACGUAGGGUGCAAGCGUUGUCCGGAAUUAUUGGGCGUAAAGAGCUCGUAGGCGGUUUGUCGCGUCUGCUGUGAAAUCCCGAGGCUCAACCUCGGGCUUGCAGUGGGUACGGGCAGACUAGAGUGCGGUAGGGGAGAUUGGAAUUCCUGGUGUAGCGGUGGAAUGCGCAGAUAUCAGGAGGAACACCGAUGGCGAAGGCAGAUCUCUGGGCCGUAACUGACGCUGAGGAGCGAAAGCAUGGGGAGCGAACAGGAUUAGAUACCCUGGUAGUCCAUGCCGUAAACGUUGGGCGCUAGAUGUAGGGACCUUUCCACGGUUUCUGUGUCGUAGCUAACGCAUUAAGCGCCCCGCCUGGGGAGUACGGCCGCAAGGCUAAAACUCAAAGGAAUUGACGGGGGCCCGCACAAGCGGCGGAGCAUGCGGAUUAAUUCGAUGCAACGCGAAGAACCUUACCAAGGCUUGACAUACACCGGAAACGGCCAGAGAUGGUCGCCCCCUUGUGGUCGGUGUACAGGUGGUGCAUGGUUGUCGUCAGCUCGUGUCGUGAGAUGUUGGGUUAAGUCCCGCAACGAGCGCAACCCUCGUUCUAUGUUGCCAGCGGGUUAUGCCGGGGACUCAUAGGAGACUGCCGGGGUCAACUCGGAGGAAGGUGGGGAUGACGUCAAAUCAUCAUGCCCCUUAUGUCUUGGGCUUCACGCAUGCUACAUGGCCCGGUACAAAGGGCUGCGAUACCGUAAGGUGGAGCGAAUCCCAAAAAGCCGGUCUUCAGUUCGGAUUGA